CAGUAGCCGCGGGAAUACGUAGGUGGCAAGCGCUGUCCGGAAUUAUUGGGCGUAAAGGGCUCGCAGGCGGUUUCUUAAGUCUGAUGUGAAAGCCCCCGGCUCGACCGGGGAGGGUCAUUGGAAACUGGGAAACUUGAGUGCAGAAGAGGAGAGUGGAAUUCCACGUGUAGCGGUGAAAUGCGUAGAGAUGUGGAGGAACACCAGUGGCGAAGGCGACUCUCUGGUCUGUAACUGACGCUGAGGAGCGAAAGCGUGGGGAGCGAACAGGAUUAGAUACCCCCGUAGUCCCUGUCUCUUAUAC
rnacentral:rRNA from 1 species